rnacentral:rRNA from 1 species
UCUCCUGGAAAACGGGUGGUAAUGCCGGAUGUUCCACAUGAUCGCAUGUGAUUGUGGGAAAGAUUCUAUCGGCGUGGGAUGGGGUCGCGUCCUAUCAGCUUGUUGGUGAGGUAACGGCUCACCAAGGCUUCGACGGGUAGCCGGCCUGAGAGGGCGACCGGCCACAUUGGGACUGAGAUACGGCCCAGACUCCUACGGGAGGCAGCAGUGGGGAAUAUUGCACAAUGGGCGCAAGCCUGAUGCAGCGACGCCGCGUGAGGGAUGGAGGCCUUCGGGUUGUAAACCUCUUUUGUUUGGGAGCAAGCCUUCGGGUGAGUGUACCUUUCGAAUAAGCGCCGGCUAACUACGUGCCAGCAGCCGCGGUAAUACGUAGGGCGCAAGCGUUAUCCGGAUUUAUUGGGCGUAAAGGGCUCGUAGGCGGCUCGUCGCGUCCGGUGUGAAAGUCCAUCGCUUAACGGUGGAUCUGCGCCGGGUACGGGCGGGCUGGAGUGCGGUAGGGGAGACUGGAAUUCCCGGUGUAACGGUGGAAUGUGUAGAUAUCGGGAAGAACACCA